GGCCUUGUAGCUAAGGGGUUAGAGCAUUGGUCUUGUAAACCAAGGGUUGUAAGUUCAAUUCUCACCUUGUCCU
rnacentral:tRNA from 1 species